UACGUAGGGGGCAAGCGUUGUCCGGAAUCAUUGGGCGUAAAGAGCGUGUAGGCGGCUCGGUAAGUCCGCUCUGAAAGCCCGGGGCUCAACCCCGGGAGGCGGGCGGAUACUGUCGAGCUAGAGUCCGGAAGAGGCGAGUGGAAUUCCUGGUGUAGCGGUGAAAUGCGCAGAUAUCAGGAGGAACACCAAUGGCGAAGGCAGCUCGCUGGGACGGUACUGACGCUGAGGAGCGAAAGCGUGGGGAGCGAACAGG
rnacentral:rRNA from 1 species